GACGAACGCUGGCGGCGUGCUUAACACAUGCAAGUCGAGCGGUAAGGCCCUUUCGGGGGUACGACGAGCGGCGAACGGGUGAGUAACACGUGGGUGACCUGCCCUCAGCUCUGGGAUAAGCCUGGGAAACCGGGUCUAAUACUGGAUAUGACUCCAUGACGCAUGUUGUGGGGUGGAAAGCCUUGUGCGGCUGAGGAUGGGCCCGCGGCCUGUCAGCUUGUUGGUGGGGUGANGGCCUACCAAGGCGACGACGGGUAGCCGGCCUGAGAGGGCGACCGGCCACACUGGGACUGAGACACGGCCCAGACUCCUACGGGAGGCAGCAGUGGGGAAUCUUGCGCAAUGGGCGAAAGCCUGACGCAGCGACGCCGCGUGAGGGAUGACGGCCU
rnacentral:rRNA from 1 species